rnacentral:rRNA from 1 species
UCCAGACUCCUACGGGAGGCAGCAGUGAGGAAUAUUGGUCAAUGGGCGAGAGCCUGAACCAGCCAAGUCGCGUGAGGGAAGACGGUCCUAUGGAUUGUAAACCUCUUUUGCCGGGGAGCAACGGGGUCCUUGCGAGGGCCCGAUGAGAGUACCCGGAGAAAAAGCAUCGGCUAACUCCGUGCCAGCAGCCGCGGUAAUACGGAGGAUGCGAGCGUUAUCCGGAUUUAUUGGGUUUAAAGGGUGCGUAGGCGGACGCUUAAGUCAGCGGUAAAAUUGCGGGGCUCAACCUCGUCGAGCCGUUGAAACUGGGUGCCUUGAGUGGGCGAGAAGUACGCGGAAUGCGUGGUGUAGCGGUGAAAUGCAUAGAUAUCACGCAGAACUCCGAUUGCGAAGGCAGCGUACCGGCGCCCAACUGACGCUGAAGCACGAAGGCGUGGGUAUCGAACAGGAUUAGAUACCCCAGUAUA